CCUACGGGGGGCUGCAGUGGGGAAUUUUCCGCAAUGGGCGCAAGCCUGACGGAGCAAUACCGCGUGAGGGAGGAAGGCUUUUGGGUCGUAAACCUCUUUUAUUGGGGAAGAAGAUCUGACGGUACCCAAUGAAUCAGCAUCGGCUAACUCCGUGCCAGCAGCCGCGGUAAUACGGAGGAUGCAAGCGUUAUCCGGAAUUAUUGGGCGUAAAGCGUCCGCAGGUGGUUGUUCAAGUCUGCUGUUAAAGCGUGCGGCUUAACCGCAUAACGGCAGUG
rnacentral:rRNA from 1 species